rnacentral:rRNA from 1 species
CCUACGGGGGGCAGCAGUGGGGGAUAUUGCACAAUGGGGGAAACCCUGAUGCAGCGACGCCGCGUGAGUGAAGAAGUAUUUCGGUACGUAAAGCUCUAUCGGCAGGGAAGAAGAUGACGGUACCUGACCAAGAAGCCCCGGCUAACUACGUGCCAGCAGCCGCGGUAAUACGGAGGGGGCAAGCGUUAUCCGGAUUUACUGGGUGUAAAGGGGGCGCAGACGGCAAUGCAAGCCAGGAGUGAAAGCCCGGGGCCCAACCCCGGGACUGCUCUUGGAACUGCAUGGCUGGGGUACAGGAGGGGCAG